GAAUAUUGGACAAUGGGCGCAAGCCUGAUCCAGCCAUACCGCGUGGGUGAAGAAGGCCUUCGGGUUGUAAAGCCCUUUUGUUGGGAAAGAAAAGCAGUCGGCUAAUACCCGGUUGUUCUGACGGUACCCAAAGACUCCGCACCGGCUAACUUCGUCCCAGCCGCCGCGGGAAUACGAAGGGUGCAAGCGUUACUCGGAAUUACUGGGCGUAAAGGGGGCGUAGGUGGUUGUUUAAGUCUGUUGGGAAAGCCCUGGGCUCAACCGGGGAAUUGCAGUGGAUACUGGGCGACUAGAGUGUGGUAGAGGGUUGUGGAAUUCCCGGUGUAGCAGUGAAAUGCGUAGAGAUCGGAAGGAACAUCCAUGGCGAAGGCAGCUACCUGGACUAACACUGACACUGAGGAACGAAAGCGUGGGGAGCAAACAGG
rnacentral:rRNA from 1 species